rnacentral:rRNA from 1 species
GACGAACGCUGGCGGCGUGCUUAACACAUGCAAGUCGAACGAUGAAGCCGGAGCUUGCUCUGGUGAAUUAGUGGCGAACGGGUGAGUAACACGUGAGUAACCUGCCCUUGACUCUGGGAUAACUGCUAGAAAUGGUAGCUAAUACCGGAUACGACCCUCGGAGGCAUCUCCAGGGGGUGGAAAGGAUUUCGGUCAAGGAUGGACUCGCGGCCUAUCAGCUAGGUGGUGAGGUAACGGCUCACCAAGGCGACGACGGGUAGCCGGCCUGAGAGGGUGACCGGCCACACUGGGACUGAGACACGGCCCAGACUCCUACGGGAGGCAGGAGUGGGGAAUAUUGCACAAUGGGCGCAAGCCUGAUGCAGCAACGCCGCGUGAGGGAUGACGGCCUUCGGGUUGUAAACCUCUUUUAGUAGGGAAGAAGCGAAAGUGACGGUACCUGCAGAAAAAGCACCGGCUAACUACGUGCCAGCCGCCGCCGUAA